CCCCCAGCUCAAGCAGUGCAGUUAGUCUCAGUACUCCAGUGUGGAAGUUACAAGUCUACAAGUCCCAUCAAAAAUAUCAGCGAUGAAGUAUAUUGUGUGUAUUCUCUUGUUUCUGGCGGUCUUGGAGGGAUUCCAAUGUGCACCUACAUUUUGCUUAUUUUGGCCGUGUUAUAUAUCAAAUCAAAAUUCCAAUUCACACACAACAACUUAUCAAAAUACAUUCACGAAUACUGGUAACAACAACCGCAUAAUAGUUGGCAAAGGAGGUGCCAACCUUUUUGGACAACUACUUUUCUUAUAUUAAUACUACUACCUGUUGCCCGCGUAGAAUAUACAUUUUAGAAUAAGUA